rnacentral:lncRNA from 1 species
CUUCCCUCCGCAGCGGCUCGCGCAGCUCCGCUCUUGCGCCCCGCGCCCGGCUCAGCGGACGGACUAGCGCGCCCGGUCAAGAAUCCUGGGGAACCCGCUCCGCCCCCUGGCUCCAGCGCCCUCCAAUGAUGUCGGCGUACAGAGGGCUGUUCCGCCCAAUCAGGUGUCGGAAAGCCCAGCCAGUCCCCGGGAGUGUAGCCAAUAGAAGGCGACUCCGGCAACACACCCGCCCUGAUCCACUAGGAACAAACCGCUCCGAGCCCGGGUGGUGGGACCGAUCCUGGAGCCCAGAUCAAGCCAAGUCCGGCCAAAGCUGUGUCGCAAAAAUCUCGAGCUAUUAGAAAGGCAGUUCUGGGAAAUGAUGCAAAUACACAGGGUGAUGUCCUUCUCCCCAUCAUCCCAGUGUGAAACUUGUGGUCUCUUAGGAAGAUUCCGGGGUAGGAAAACAACAGAAAGAAAAGUCGUUCUGAUUUCUAACCUCACAUUCAACAAUACUGGGUGUUGGAAUUAAGUUUCGCUGAUUUGCGCCAAGAGAGAUGUGUCACUGUCACCCAUAAGAAGCUUGGUGCUUCCUGCUGACCUACUUCCUUACAAAAUAACACAACAAUCAGCUGGUCAUGCAGAUCUUAUUGAAACUAAGAAAGAGUGCCAUCUGUCGUUGUGUAUGAUAUGUUCUUCAGUAUCAAUCUUAGAUUGCGUUGUGGUACUCAAA